AAGUUGGGUAACCCAAACACCCCAUCCAAUCAUCAAAAUACUGCAUUAAUUCAUCACAUAUGCGUAUACAUUAUUUCCCUCCUCUCCUCCGCCGGUUCCCUGCCACUCUCCAUACAUCACAACCGCCUUUCUACGCUGAAAUCGAUGAUCACCCAAUUCAAGAUUUUUUAUAUCGGUUUUAUAUAGUGAAUUUGAAUCAGUGCUCUAUCUAAUACGUUCCUUCUAGGAUUGAAUUGCAGAUUCAAGGUGAAAAACUCUUGGUUUCUUGACUAAUAUUUCAUUUCUGUAUUAUUAUUCAACGAGAAAGCUACCGCAAACGGUAUCACCUAUCAAUCUAUACGUUUUUCAUUAAUUGAUCUUUUUUCCCAUUAUGUUUAAGCUUUAUAUCUCCCUUUUAAAAACUAAUCCAGUGGAACAAUUGGGGUGAUAUCUGUUGAUGCUGGCAUAAUAUGGAUAGGUAUGCCAAUUGCUAAAUACCUUAAUGGAAUUUGGGCUAUCUACUUUUAAGAAAAUAACAUGUUUUCUUGGUCAGUCAUAUUAUGCUUAGUUUUAGAUGAUAAGAAAUUGAACUUUCGAAUGAUAAAAACAAAAUUACAGGAGACAAAGCUAUGGCUAUUAUUAUUUUCAGUUUUGUUUGAAUUAUAAUUUGUUGUUUCCAGUUAUUGUUUUUAUUCUAUGAUUUCAUGUUUGGGCUUUCAUUUGAUCUAAAAUGUAGUGGCUAAAGCUCUUUGAUAUGUGCCUGGCUUAUUGUGCCGUUGUUAAAUGAGGCUUGAUUGGGUUAAAAAACUGUAGCUUUUGAUGUGACGUUGUUUGUGUUGGUGGUCUUCAUUUACGGAAAGACGCCAGUUUGGCAUGACAAGGGGAUUGGAGAUAUCUGCAAUGAAGUUCAUGACAGUCGUAGUUGUAGCAUAAUGAAGAAACUCAAAACGGAGAAUAGGAUGCCUUAAAGAUUUGAUUGGUUAUGUGAUUAGUGUUGGGGAUCCUAAAAUCAAAUCUAAUGUGGGAGACAAGUCGGGGUAACGCUAUGGGGUACUGUUGGAGAAGACAUGCUGAAAAAAGGAAGCACAUCCAAGAUCUUAUUCAUGCAUCCUGACUCCAAUGCGUGUUAAAAUAUAUCGUGGUUUAAGCUUCAGUUGGAGGUAAGGGAUGACACGACUUCAGUUGUCGUUACACUGUUUAAUGAGCUUGCCAAAAAAUUACUGAGCAGGACAGCUAAAUCUUUGAUUGAAGAAGAGGAGCAGACUGAUUGGGAUGGUGAUGUCCUUCCACCAGUUAUUCGCCGACUGGUUGGCACUAAACAUGUGUUUGAAAUAAAGGGCCACUCAUACUAUCAAGCUGGGGGGUAUGAGGGUUUUAAUUGUUUUCAAGUAUUUUCGGCUGAACCUAGUGUCCCGGCCGGCGCCAUUACUGGGAGCAAACCAGCAAGCAUAGCUUCCGUUGGAGGGUCAUUGUCUAUGCCAACAAAAGAACCUCAGUCGAUACCCACACCAUCAAAGGAGCGAGAACCAACCAAAAUGAAAUUGAUCCUUAAAGAACAAACCACUGAAGAUUUGGUCAUAGCUAACUCGGGCGGGGACCUGGAGGCUGACCAAAGCAAAGGGAAAAAAAGUGUUGUUGCUAAUGCUUCCUUGGAAGUGGCUAAUGCCGACAGUGAAGCUGACUGUGUUGCCUUAGAUGAUGAUGUGACUAUCAGAGGUAAGGUUUGUGGAUAUAGUUAGUGGAGAAAGAGGUGUCAAUCUAUGGGGUCAAGCUACACAUAAGCCCAAGUCGGGUUUGUGUAGGAAAAUCAAUCCGUUGUUUUGACCCGUACUAAUAAGUGGCCCUGUUCAACGUAUAACCCAUAUUGCCUGACCCGUCAAUCUUGCUACACCUGUUUUAUAUACCACAUAUAUAGGACGAGAAAAGGCUUGCAUACUUGAAUGAGCCAGUCAUCUUGCAAAGGUAUAUUGUACUAUGCCUCCUCUACUACAUAUUAUUCUUAAAGUGAUUGAGACCUUCGAUUUUAAGUUUUAAGAUGUGUUUGACAGCCACAUAUCUUUCUUUGUAUUAUGACAUUUCAGGAUAUUGAUAAUAUUAUAUGAGACAGAAUACCAGGGAAAAUGGUGUACCAUCAAGAGAAAAAUGUACUCUUGCUUCCUUCUUGCUCGGAAUUUACUCGGCCUCCUGUUAUGCAUUUUUUUUAUAUGACUACAAUAAAAGGCACAUCCACAUUAUGUUUUUAAGUAGAGGUGGCAAUCUGACCGUGCGCGAGUCAGUUUAGUUCAUUUUAAUUUUAUAUUAGACAACAAUGUGAAAAAGGUCACACAUACUACCAGGCCGGUGAAUAUGAGGCCUUUAGCUGUUCUCAAGUGAUAUCCCAUGUCAUGAAUAUCCCUGCUGGGACAAUUAGUAGCAACCAGCAGCAUAGUGUUGCCUUUGCUGGUGGAUCAUCGACAUCACAGCCUGACCCGGUACCAACUCCAAAAAAGAACGAGCCAAAAAACGAAAAUUGUGAGUAUUGUUCAGCUCAACUAUUGGUUCAUCAAGGAGCUCAUCAACCCAACGCUCAACCUCCAUUGUGUACCAAUAUCUUAGUGAAGCAACCCGAUUCCAAAGAUCCCGUCCAAAUUAAUCCUCAUUAUCCAUCACUUACGAUAUCAAACAAGUCAACAAGCCCGGCCGUGCAUCGCACGGGCCUUCACUCUAGUUUGAUUUAUUUUUUCAUCCUUGGUAACAGGGAUCUUAGAUUGACUAUUUUAAGGAUCAAUAACAUUGAUUUACAAUGGUUUAACAUAAUAUAACACGGUAACGAAGUAAAUUAUUUUUGUAA